AAGCCAUGAUGGGGACACAUAAACAAUAAAUCCUUAAAUCUAUCCCAAGCUUGGAAAAAGAUUUCAUUUUCUUUGCAUGCAAAGUUCAUGAUUUCAUUUACAAAUGA